rnacentral:rRNA from 1 species
AAUGACUCUCGACAACGGAUAUCUUGGCUCUCGUGAUGAUGAAGAACGUAGCGAAAUGCGGCAUUUGGUGUGAAUUGCAGAAUCCCGCGAACCAUUUAGUCUUUGAAUGCAAGUUGCGCUCUAGACCAUUGGGUCAAGGGCAUGUAUGUUUGAGUGUCUUG